AUUGAACGCUGGCGGCAGGCUUAACACAUGCAAGUCGAACGGUAACAGGGAGAAACUUGUUUCUCUGCUGACGAGUGGCGGACGGGUGAGUAAUGCUUGGGAAUCUGCCUUAUGGAGGGGGAUAACCACUGGAAACGGUGGCUAAUACCGCGUAAUAUCUUCGGAUUAAAGUGUGGGACUUUCGAGCCACACGCCAUAAGAUGAGCCCAAGUGAGAUUAGGUUGUUGGUGAGGUAAUGGCUCACCAAGCUUACGAUCUCUAGCUGGUUUGAGAGGAUGACCAGCCACACUGGGACUGAGACACGGCCCAGACUCCUACGGGAGGCAGCAGUGGGGAAUAUUGCACAAUGGGCGCAAGCCUGAUGCAGCCAUGCCGCGUGAAUGAAGAAGGCCUUAGGGUUGUAAAGUUCUUUCAUUAGUGAGAAAGCGGUUAUAUCUAAUAGGUGUAACCAUUGAUGUUAGCUAAAGAAGAAGCACCGGCUAACUCCGUGCCAGCAGCCGCGGUAAUACGGAGGGUGCGAGCGUUAAUCGGAAUGACUGGGCGUAAAGGGCACGCAGGCGGUUAUUUAAGUCAGAUGUGAAAGCCCCGAGCUUAACUUGGGAAUUGCAUUUGAUACUGGGUAACUAGAGUCCUCUAGGGAGGGGUAGAAUUCCAUGUGUAGCGGUGAAAUGCGUAGAGAUGUGGAGGAAUACCGAAGCGAAGGCAGCCCCUUGGAGAGAGACUGACGCUCAUGUGCGAAAGCGUGGGUAGCAAACAGG
rnacentral:rRNA from 1 species